CAUUCAUAUGAUGUUCCAGGAGGACUGUAUGGUGAGGAUGCUAUGACGUUGUGGGUCCCCAAUCACCAGCACAGUGGCGGUAAAGCCUGGCAUGUUAACUCGCCGCAACUGGGUGUUGCGCACCAGCAUUGUCCUCAACAUAAUAGUCCUGCUAUAUGUCGGAACACAUGUCGCUUCCAGAAAUGGAGGGGUGGACAUGUUGGAGGAAAUGCAGGCUGGUGGACGCAGCUUGGCAUCACUGGAGAUAACCCAGGACUCUGCACUUCCUGCAGUGGUUGGCUCAGAUAACCCAGAGACUCAGGCUGCCGCCCUCGUACAGGGCACAACAUCAGCCCCAGGCAUGCGGCACAGUACAACGGUGGCAACCUCCACGGAACAUAAGGAGAUGAGCAGCACUGAGGAGAUGGAGUCCCUUAACACGCUAGAGGAGAUCAUCGGGUGUAAGGAUCGGGAGGCGGUACCACGGACUGAGCAGCGUGGGGACUACUGGGUACUGUACAACUAUGUACGGGCUGCGAGACACUUCCAUUGCUGGGAGAGUAUCACCUACACCACACAUGCAGACUUCACCUUCCUCGACAACCUGGAGACUCUGCUGGAUCGGUGGCAAGGUCCUAUUUCGCUGGCCUUGCACGCACCUGGUACCGACUUCAUGCCCACUCUCAACACCAUCCGCUACUUGCGCGAGUGCACCUCGUCACCGAUAGCCGACUACGUCACUUUCCAUGUGUAUUUUCCUAGUAAACAUGUUCCAAAACAAGUUCCUCGUGUAGACAAAGUGUUUGAUGAACAUUUUAAUUGUUCUAAUCCCCCACCGUGGGUCACAAUGCCAGCAAACACCAUUUAUAAAGCUCAGAAGAAGCUGCUCUAUCCUGUGAAUGUUGGUAGAAACAUUGCGAGAGAGAGUGCGGUAACUCAUUAUAUUCUUCCUAGUGACAUUGAGUUGUAUCCUAGUCCAGGAGUUAUUCCUGAUUUUCUAGAUAUGGUGAGGAGGCAAGAUCCACCUCUACAACACAAACGCCCCAAAGUGUUUCCUCUUUCAAUUUUUGAAUUGGAAUCAAAUAUGAAUCUUCCUGUCAACAAGAGUGAUCUGGUCUCUAUGUUAAGAAAUGGCACAGCCAUACCUUUCCACAAGAAAGUGUGUCCUGGCUGUCACAACGUGCCCAAGUCUAAGGAGUGGCAGAACGCCCCUCCCGGUGAAGGACUGAAAGUAUUCCAUAUUGGAAAACGAACUGGAUAUUUUGUGCACUGGGAGCCGAUAUUCAUAGGCACUCAUGAGGAUCCGUUGUACGAUGAGAGGCUGAGUUGGGAGGGAAAGAGUGACAAGAUGACUCAGGGUUACAUCCUAUGUGUUUUGGACUACGAAUUCCAAAUUCUUGACAAUGCUUUUUUGGUACAUAAGCCAGGAAUUAAGACACUAAAGAAAGAUCCAGCAAGAGCACUUCUUGCUGGAAAAACUAACUCUCUGAUUCGCAAGAUCAUCUUCCCGGAGCUGAGGGUGCUGUUUGGUGUAAGAAAGGGUUGUGCUGUCUGACAUUCACACUUUCACUCUCACUUCCAAGGAAUUACACCUAGGUGACAAGAAGUGAAUACCGGUGUCAACAAAAGACACUUCAUCUUGCUGCAAGAUUGAUUUAGUCAAAGAGUCUGGUUUUUCUCUGACCACAAGUCAGGAAUGUGCUUUUCUUCACCAAUUAGGACGGAGAUAGUGUCUUAAGUAGCUGUAAACCAUAUCAUUUGUAAUUUUAAUUAUACUCACAUUUAUUAUUUGUGUACAGUACAUUACUUCUACAAGGUUGUGAUUCACUCAAUAAUAUAUCAGAUCAGUUUAUUCCGCCAAGGUUACACUAAUCUUUCUUGUAAAGUUAAAUGCAAAAAAGGAGAUGAUAUUCUAUAAUUUUAUACAGUUUGUAUAAAGUAUUGUAUUUUCAUGUUUAAUUUUACAGAGAUAGAGUUAAUAUUGAUUGAUAUAGAGAUAAGUUUUGAUACAAUUUGUUCAGGAUGUUUCUGGGAAAGCAAAAUCAAUUAUUUAUAUUGAUUUUAUCUUUACAGUUGUAUGUGAUUAGUAACUAAUAUUGUAUCCAUUAUUGGUUUACCUUUUAAUAACCUUUUAAGUAAAAUGCAAAACAAAAGAAAAUAUUGUGUUUCAUCAUAUGACAUUAUUUAUAUUUUGUGAAUAAAUUUAGAUUUAAAAAAAAUUUAGCAUAUAAAUCAUACAAGCAGUCUAAAAUUGAGGGUGGGAAACAAAAACUGACAUAUCAUGUCCCAAUAUAAUAAAGUAAUAAUAAUUAUGUCUAAGAUCCAUUGAUGCUCUCUUAAUUUGUUACAAGGGGUCAACCCUUUAUUUAAGCUAAUUACAACUAUUCAUUAAUCUUCAAUCAUUAUUUUUCCUGAGUGUGGUCCAAUAGGAUCUGACCUAACUCUCUGAUUGGAAAAGUCAGAUAUUUUCUACCUACCGUUGCAAAUGCAAUUUAACACAUUAGAAUGUUAUAAAAAUCUAUAAAUAUGUACACCAAUAGGUCAGUAAAUGUUCAAGACUGCAGUUUUAAAACUGUCUACAAUAUUAUAUGUGCUAUAUAUGAUCACAUUAAUGUUCAAUGUUUAUAAAUAUUUUGUGAUAAACUGCAGUCAUGAUAGCAGCCAAGCAACUUUACUGAAAAUAAACCUUUUUCAUUAAGCUGUUAUUUCUAGAAAUACCAUUCAUAAGCAGAUGUGGUUGAUAUUACUGGAAAGAUAUUGUAAAAACCUUUCACAAUUUGUUGAUUUAAAGAAUUAAUCACGCAAAUAUUUGCUACGAUAAUAUAUCUCAGAAAAAUGUAUAGGGACAUUCUAAACAUUCAGUAACAUUUUCAUUGCUAGAUGUUUACGGAUAAUUUGACCAGAUAAUUGAUUCGUAACAGAUAUCCAUUUCUUUUCAUAUUCAUGUAAAAUAGCAGUAAAAUAGCACUAGUUAAUAAAAUGUAGGCUACAUUUGGGUUCAAGAAUUUUGACACCAGCUGAGUUGUAGGCCUGAUUCUAUGCCAUUCUUUCUGUCUGCUGUUCUAUUUUGCAUAAUGUUGUUCUGGUCAUAUGAUAAGUGCAACCGGUGUUUUGUAAUUAAUUGUGUUUAUGUUGUGAUAAUAAUGAAUUAGUAUUAUUUUGUGUUGUAAAAGGCAUUAUUGGGUGUUGUGAUAAUUGAAAUGUCUAAUAACUGGAGAUAUUUCACCAUGUGGCCAAUCAAAAUGGUUCAACUCGUUGAGGCCAGACAUUUGAGCAAUCUAAGGGAAGAGGUGUGACUACGAUAUUUUACACUAGCUAGAUAUCCAUGCACCGUUCUCAGUCAGUUUAGACACAGCUGGACUAACCUGGUGGAUCUGAGCUACAUUAUCAAUCAUUCAUUAUUUUUAAGCAAAUGCUUCAACAAUAGGUGGUUUAAACAAACAUUAAAUUAUAGAUCUCUACUAUUUUACCCGCAAGGAAAUCUUUUCUAAGAAUCUUAAAUAGUAACAAUAUUACACAGGGGAGGAUCCACAUUCAAUCUAUACAUUAUACAUAAUACAAAGUAUUAGACCAUUCCCGUCCAAAAUAUUGUCAAAAAAUAUUACUGAUAUUGAAUAACAAAAGAAUAAAUAAAGAACAGCUAUUCACACUUUAAAUGUUACAACAAAUUAAACAUUUCAAAAAUGUUAAAUGAACCACUUAACUAAUUGUUAAGAACUAUGAGAUUUAUGAUUUAAUAUUGAUUGGUUGCUGAUUCUAUUACCAUUCCAUCUAAUUAACAGUAUAUUUUAACAUUUAUAAGUAAGAAGAUGAAGAAACCUAUAUUUAAAAAACACUGUCAUAAUAGAGUAUGUAUCUUAAGGUUAAUAAUAAUUGAAAUAUUUACAAUUUGAAAAAUAAUUCUAUUUUCUGAGUCCAAUUAUGGAUAUUUUAAUUUGAAAAAUAAUUACAAUUAACUAAAAAAUAUAUAAUAACACAAGUUAUUUCAAAAUUUAGCUUAUUCAGUUAUGAAUUUUGUUAUCUAGCAACAAAAUUAACAAUACAAAUCCUUAAAUUUGUAUUAUUGCUAUCAUAAAACAGGUAAUUAUAGUAGUUAUUUCUUAGAAAGCAUAAACACAAAACUAAACAAGCUGUUUUAAUCUUUCUCUUGAUAUUGCAGUAAAAUCAUUUGUAAUUAUAGUAGUUAUACAAAUUCGAGUUUCCAUAAUUUUGAUAUGUUUUAUUAACUUUGAACUAAAUUUAUUUUAAAACUAUUUUAAAUAGUCAUUAUAUUUAUUGAGUAUAUACAAAUUCUAUUCAUUAAGUAUAUACAAUUUAUUUGUUUGUGAUACAGGUUAUUCUUUUUUCACAUAUAUUAAUACUUUUUAGCAUCAUUUGACUCAAAUACACAUUUCAGAUGUAAUUGACUUAUUUUCCUUUUGCUGCUCUAACUCAGUUACACAAAUACAUAUAGAAAUAUGUUGUAUUUGUAUGGUAUCUAAAAUUCUGUUAUAAAUGAGAAAUAACUGGAGCAUUAUUUAUUCAUGUGUAUGUAUCUAAUAUAUAUAUAUAUAUAUAUAUAUAUAUAUAUAUAUAUAUAUAUAUAUAUAUAAACUUUUCAUUAGAUAAGAAUGAGUUUAAAAUUAAAUACUGAAUGAUAUUGUUUUGAAAUUGUAAGAAGAUACUCUCCAUCAGUGUCACUGAAAGUAGAUCGUUAUCACUAAUCUAUAAAGGAACCACGAAUAAAGCUGAUUGUAAAACAUUUAUUUGCCUUUUGCAUGUUUCAUAUUGCUUUGUUUUCCUUCAUGUGAAUGUAAAAUAUAAUUGUUGAAAUCUGCCUCUUAAUUAUUCCUGAGUGUUUUGUUUAUGACAUUUGCGUCCGUAGUGAAAGGCUGUAGUGAGUAACAUGUGCCUGCUUGCAAACCAUUCCAGCCCAUUUUAAACAUCAAUUUAAGAAUCAAUCAAAGUUGUGCCUUAUUUUAUGAAUGAUUUGCUAGUCUACAAGUACAUCUCCUAAUUAUUCCUAGUGAGAGAAAGAAAAGUAUUGUCUCAGAGAACUAGUGAGACCUUUUAACAGAAUUAUGUAGUUUAGAAAUGAAUAUAGUCUCCUUUUGUGAUAGGAUGAAUGAGUCUUUGGUCAUACUGUGUUAUGCAUCACAUUUGAGAUAGUUUUAUGAUCGAAAUAGCAUAUAAAUAUAGGAUUACAAAAUAUUAUUUACUAGAAUUUUUGAUGUAGUAUUGUUUAAAUUUUACAAGUUUCUGAUUGUUUUAAAUGUCAUCUAAUUCAUUUACAAUAUAUUAAACCGUUUAACAGUAUGUUUCAGUAGUGAUUGAAUUCUGCUAGGAAUUACUUUAGAAUUGUUAACAUCAGAUAUUUGAAAGGAUAAUAAGAUUUUGGACAUAUGCCAUAGUUAUAUGUUACAAAAAAUUAUAACAAAAAAGUGUUUUGUGUUGAAAUCAUAGGAUUUCAGAGAUUUGCCAUUGUUAUUUAACUUACGGUAAUUGUAGUAUAACAAUGGCAAAUGUCUGAAAUCCUAUGAUGCUUUCAAAUCAUCAAUUGUCAGUAACAAGCUUUAACCCUCUAAGUGCUAGCACAUUUUUAGAGAUAUGGUUUUUUUAAAAAUUACAUUACAUACAAUAAUGCUUUCAAAUAUCAUGUAUUAUACUUACAUUUUUCGGAAAUACAGUAAAACAUUUUUUUUUAUUGAAGAGGUACAGUUUUUUUAAUUUAUUUUGUAACAAUAAUUUCAGAAUAUACAAAUUGUUUCUAAUUUGAUUCUGAAUAACUUAAAUGUUGCAGCAAAGGUUUUUUAACAAAUAAAAUCUGACAAUGACGCCCACCAUAGUGUCUGAUUCAGCUGACUUAUAUUUCUCAUAAGUUACUUUGCAUAAUCUUCCAAAUUAGUAGUCUACUUUCAGUUCAGUCAGUGCAUAGAGGAAUCUUACUUAACAAAGACCAUAAAUAUUGAAUAAACCAUUUGUUUGUAACACAACAAAACCAAAAGAUAUCACAAUGCGAUGAUAGCACUUUGAGGGUUAAACAAAGAAUCAAAUAGUUAAUAUCUAGUUUUCAUGUUUCAAACAAAAACCAUGUUGCAACAGCAUUUUGUUACAUUAAUUCUUUGUUGACCACAAUAAUAUCUGUCCCAGUAAUCAACCAUUAUUGAUUGAUUUCUUUAUUCAAAACUAAUUUUGAUUUAUAAUUAUUUCAAAUCUAUAACAUAUGAUGUAAUAUUACUCUUUAUAACCACAACAAUAUAUUUUUAAAACCUUGUUAAUCUGUACUGAUUAAAGUUAAAAGAAACUAGUGUUAGAUUGUCCUUUUUUAUAUACUUAUAUUUGUAAAUAUAAGAAAAAUUAGUCUUUAAGCUUACACAUCCACAAAAUUUUGAGGUGCUAUGUGUAGGUGUUUUAUAUAUUCAAUUUUAUAAGAAGGAUUUUAUUCAAUAAUUAAAAGUUCCAUAUGUAGUGAAAUAAUUAGAUAUUUAAACUUUAUAGUAUGAUGUGAAACUAUAGUAAGAACAUUAUUCUUUUGACAUCCAGCAUAGUAACUUUCAAUGAGUAGAAAGAAUGAGCAAACAUAUUUGCAUUUUUAACUUAAUUACAAUGUCAUUGCUUUUGCUUUGAUGGAUUAUAAAUAUUUAGUGAUAAAAGAAUAUUGCAUGUAAGGUAGAGUGCUGACAAACAAGUGAAAUUCUUAAAAGUAGGGAUAUAUUUUUAAAUAUACAUGUACAUAUUCUCUUAUAAGUAUUUACUUUAAGCUUGCAUAUGUGAAAUUUCACUCGUAGUAGAUUUUCUAAGAUAAAUUGUAUAAAUAUUAGAUCAAUUGUACAAUGUAUAUACUAUUUUUAAAAUGUAAAAUAUCAUUAUUUUAAUUGACUUCUGAUGGUGGUGGGACAGGGUUAAGUUUCAAUUAGCAGAUAAAAGAUCUACAGACUUUAAAAACCAAUUAUAAAUCGUGUUUCGACUGUGCAAAUCUUUUUUGUUUCUUAUAUUGUUGUUAUUGUAAAAAGUAUAAAAAAUAUGUUCAUAAAAUUGCAAUGUACUAAACUAAAAUUAUAAUAAGAUUCAUAAUUUUUGUGCUAUGUGUCAAGACUAUGAAGUACAAUCUAUUGAUACACUAGAAUCUUGUUCAACCAAAUUUGUUGGGACUAAAGUAAUUAAUUUUGUGAAAUGAAAAUUCUGUUAAUAAAGGUAUUAAAAAAAUAUUUUAAAAUGUAAAUUAAAUAUUAACAACUUUUUUGUAUUAAAAUUGAUUUGUUUAAACUGAAACUUUGGUUAGUGGAAACUAAUGUAUUAGUUCUGUAUUAAAUCAGAUUCUGAGAGAUCAGUCCAUGUAGUUUGGAGUAAUAUAUGAAAACUAUAGUAAUUGUAAUAAUUUAUUAUUUUAGAGGAUGUGAAGCCAGGCUUGUCACAUUAGUUAACUGUGAAAUUUGCAAUAAUUAAAACUGAAUUCUGUUAGAUUUUUUUCAAAAAUGCAGAUUUUGUGUGAUUUUUGCAAUUUAUAAAAACACUAUAUUACCCUACCAUAUGUUUAAAUAUUAAAGAACAACACGUUGGUAACACCAUAACUGUGAAUUAACUCUGAGUCAGCCAAGAUGUUUUCUAGAAGGAUUCGCCAAAGUCAAUGUAUUUAACUAUCAGGUCUAUUAAAAUACACAUAGGUAACAUCUUAACUGUGAGUAACCUUAGAGUCAGUCUGAUUGCUCUCUAGACACGUUUUCCAAAGUCGAUAUUUUAAACUACCAGACCUAUGUUACAUGUAGGUAACACCUAAUCUGAGGGGUGGAGUAAAGACUUGUUAUUCAAGAGUACAUGUUAUACCAGGUUUUCAGGAUUAGGAAACGCUUUUUCAAUUAACCCUUUAAGAGAUAGAAUCAUUGUCAUAUCUCUGUAAUCCAGAUUCCUUAUUGGUAUCUGCCACAGACCUAGCACUUGCAUGGAUAACUCGUUAAGUUUGGGUGUUAAAAGAAAAGUCUAGUCUUAUUUCUCAAAACAAUCUCUAAACCCCCAGGCAAAGGUUAUUUUUGUCUGCUAACUGAAACUUGAGAAGUACUUAUUAAUUUAGAACCAUAUGUGCAUAUAAAUUGUACAGAUUGUAAUUUUAAGCCAGACAGUUUCAAGUGCCACAGUGGGACAUGUAUGUUCCACAAUAUGUUUUCUUUGUCAUAUUUUCAUGUAAAUGUUAAUAGUAAAUACCUUUCAUUAAAUUAUAUAAAUCUUUUUUA
rnacentral:misc_RNA from 1 species